rnacentral:misc_RNA from 1 species
GAUGAAGAACGCAGUGAAUGUGCGAGACGUAAUGUGAAUUGCAGAAUUCAGUGAAUCAUCGAAUCUUUGAACGCACAUUGCGCCCGCCAGUAUUCUGGCGGGCAUGCCUGUCUGAGCGUCAUUUCAACCCUCAUGCCCCUAGGGCGUGGUGUUGGGGAUCGGCCAAAGCCCGCGAGGGACGGCCGGCCCCUAAAUCUAGUGGCGGACCCGUCGUGGCCUCCUCUGCGAAGUAGUGAUAUUCCGCAUCGGAGAGCGAUGAGCCCCUGCCGUUAAACCCCCAACUUUCCAAGGUUGACCUCAGAUCAGGUAGGAAUACCCGCUGAACUUAAGCAUAUCAAUAAGCGGAGGA